rnacentral:misc_RNA from 1 species
AAGUCGUAACAAGGUUUCCGUAGGUGAACCUGCGGAAGGAUCAUUACAGAAUCGCCCCGUUUUUUGAAAUGGGUUCUAUUCCCCAAGCAGCUGUUAGUUCAUCAUACCUUUUGUUUGCUUUUGGCAGGCCGCCGCUUAGGCGUUGGCUCCGGCUGACUGCGCCUGCCAGAGGACCCAAACUCGUUUGUUUAGUGAUGUCUGAGUACUAUAUAAUAGUUAAAA